CCAAUAGCGUAUAUUAAAGUUGUUGCAGUUAAAAAGCUCGUAGUUGAAUUUCGGGGUCAGUAAGUUGGUCGUGCCACUGGUAUGCACUGGCUUUACUGAUUCCUCCCUCUUGAAGAACUGUGAUGUCAUUUACUUGGUGUUGCAGGGAAACAGGACUGUUACUUUGAAAAAAUUAGAGUGUUUAAAGCAGGCUAACGCUUGAAUACAUUAGCAUGGAAUAAUGAAAUAGGACGUUUGACCCUAUUUUGUUGGUUUCUAGGAUCGACGUAAUGAUUAAUAGGGAUAGUUGGGGGCAUUAGUAUUCAAUUGUCAGAGGUGAAAUUCUUGGAUUUAUUGAAGACUAACUACUGCGAAAGCAUUUGCCAAGGAUGUUUUCAUUAAUCAAGAACGAAAGUUAGGGGAUCGAAGACGAUCAGAUACCGUCGUAGUCUUAACCAUAAACUAUGCCGACUAGGGAUCGGAUGAUGUUAAUUUUUUAAUGACUCAUUCGGCGCCUUACG
rnacentral:rRNA from 1 species